GUGAAGGCGCAUGGUGGAUGCCUUGGCAUCAAGGGCCGAUGAAGGGCGUAGCAAGGCUGCGAAAAGCCUCGGUCAGCUGUCUAGCAAGCAAACCGAGGAUACCCGAAUGGGGCAACCCGCUCAGGUAAAACCUGGGCACCCCCAGCUCAACACAUAGGCUGGGAGGGGGUAAGCAGGGGAAGUGAAACAUCUCAGUACCCUGAGGAAAAGAAAUUAUUCCCUGAGUAGUGGCGAACGAAAGGGGAAAAGCCUAAACCUUAUAAGCUAAGUGGCUCUGAGGCCUAAGCUUAUAGGGGGUUGUAAGGCAGGUAGGACCUAGCUUAGAAUGGGUCAAGGAGUUACAAACUGAACCCUAGUCGAAGGUUCCUGGAAAGGACAACCACAGAGGGUGACGGUCCCGUAGACGAAAGGGGGAAGCUCCUUACCUGUACUUGAGUACCACGGGACACGAGAAAUCUUGUGGGAAUCUGCCCUGACCACAGGGCAAGGCUAAAUACCCUUGAUGACCGAUAGUGAACUAGUACCGUGAGGGAAAGGUGAAAAGUACCCCGGGAGGGGAGUGAAAUAGACCUGAAACCGUGUGCUUACAAGCAGUCAGAGGUCGCCUUAGGCGACUGAUGGCGUGCCUAUUGAAGAAUGAGCCGACGAGUUAAUCUAUGUAGCUGGUUAAGCAACUAUCGUUGCGCAGCCGAAGCGAAAGCAAGUCUUAAUAGGGCGAUUUAGUUGCAUAGAUUAGACCCGAAGCCGGGUGAGCUAUCCAUGGCCAGGGUGAAGCCUCGAUAAAAUCGAAGUGGAGGCCCGAACCGGUCAGCGCUGCAAAGCUGUCGGAUGAGCUGUGGAUAGAGGUGAAAUGCCAAUCGAACCCGGGGAUAGCUGGUUCUCCCCGAAAUGCAUUUAGGUGCAGCCUCAGAUGUUAGCUAAUGGAGGUAGGGCUCUGGAUGGACUAGGUGAGAUAGUAUCUCGUCAACUCCAACUAAACUGCGAAUGCCAUUAGCCAGAAUCUGGGAGUGAGACUAUGGGGGAUAAGCUCCGUAGUCGAGAGGGAAACAGCCCAGACCAUCAGCUAAGGUCCCCAAGAACAGACUAAGUGGGAAAGGAAGUAGGAUUGCCCAGACAGCCAGGAGGUUGGCUUAGAAGCAGCCAUCCUUUAAAGAGUGCGUAACAGCUCACUGGUUGAGUGGUGCUGCGCCGAUAAUUCAACGGGGCUCAAGUCUGUCACCGAAGCUAUGGCUUCCUGAUUUUAUCAGGGAGGGUAGGGGAGCGUUCCCUUGACCAUGAAGUUACUACGUGAGUAGUGGUGGAGUUAAGGGAAGUGAGAAUGUCGGCAUGAGUAGCGUAAGGUGUGUGAGAAACACACCCACCGAAAACCUGAGGUUUCCUACGGAAGGUUAAUCCGCGUAGGGUUAGUCGGGCCUAAGCCGAGGCCGGAAGGCGUAGGCGAUGGACAACGGGUUAUUAUUCCCGUACCGUUUCUGCUGAGGCAAAGGGGGGACACGGAAGGGUAGGCUAAGCAUACCCAAUGGACAUGGUGUGUCCCUUACCAUAGGUGAGGCUGGGGCAGGUAAAUCCACCCCGGAUAUUGUAGCUGAAGGUGAGGGGAAGCUGAGGGGAGACCCAAAGCGAUUUAGCUAAUCCCAUACCGUCAAGAAAAGCCUCGUUGCCGGUGAAGCAGGAACGCCCGUACCGCAAACCGACUCUGGUAGGUAGGGAUAAAAAUCCCAAGGUGAUCGAGACAACCCUCGUUAAGGAACUCGGCAAUCUAGCCCCGUAACUUAGGGAGAAGGGGUACCCGCUUAGGCGGGUGACACUAAAUGGAUCCAAGCGACUGUUUAACAAAAACAUAGGUCUCUGCUAAAGCGUAAGCUGAAGUAUAGGGGCUGAUACCUGCCCAGUGCUGGAAGGUUAAGGGGAGGGGUUAGGAGCAAUCUGAAGCCUCGAACCGAAGCCCCAGUGAACGGCGGCCGUAACUAUAACGGUCCUAAGGUAGCGAAAUCCCUUGUCGGGUAAGUUCCGACCCGCACGAAAGGUGUAACGACUUGGAUGCUGUCUCAACGAGGGACUCGGCGAAAUUGAAAUACCCGUGAAGAUGCGGGUUACCCGCGACAGGACAAAAAGACCCCGGGAGCUUUACUAUAGCUUGGCACUGGGUCUGGGCUUAUCAUGUGUAGCAUAGGUGGGAGGCUGAGAAGCCGGGGCGCUAGCCUCGGUGGAGCCAUCAUUGAAAUACCACUCUUGGUGAGUUUAGCCUCUAACCCUAGAGCAAGCUAGGGGACAGUGUCUGGUGGGUAGUUUGACUGGGGCGGUCGCCUCCUAAAAGGUAACGGAGGCGCCCAAAGGUCCCCUCAGAGUGGAUGGAAAUCACUCAUAGAGCGUAUUGGCAUAAGGGGGCUUGACUGUGAGACCAACAAGUCGAGCAGGGACGAAAGUCGGGCAAAGUGAUCCCACGGUACCGAGUGGAAGGGCCGUGGCUUAACGGAUAAAAGCUACCCCGGGGAUAACAGGCUUAUCUUGCCCAAGAGUUCACAUCGACGGCAAGGUUUGGCACCUCGAUGUCGGCUCGUCGCAUCCUGGGGCUGAAGCAGGUCCCAAGGGUUGGGCUGUUCGCCCAUUAAAGCGGUACGCGAGCUGGGUUCAGACCGUCGUGAGACAGGUCGGUCUCUAUCCGUCGUGGGCGUCCGGAGAUUUGAGGGGGGCUCUCUUUAGUACGAGAGGAUCAAGAGGGACAGACCUAUGGUGUGCCAGUUGUUCCGCCAGGGGCAUCGCUGGGUAGCUAAGUCUGGUUUGGAUAAGCGCUGAAAGCAUCUAAGUGCGAAGCCGGCCCCAAGAUAAGAUCUCCCAUCCCGGUGAUUUAUCACCGGGGGUAAGACCACAAGUAGACUACUUGUUUGAUAGGCGGUGGGUGUAAGGGCAGCAAUGUCUUUAGCUUAACCGUACUAAUGGUCGAGGGCUUGACCU
rnacentral:rRNA from 1 species